UCUUUUGUAGGUGAAAGUUCUGUGAAUAAGAUGGAGCAACAUGCUAAUUGUGUGGGGAACUAUUUAUAAGUUCUUCCUUUUGCCUUUGAAGGAAAGCAAAUCAACCUCCAGCAACCUCAAAGAAGCUUCUGUUACGGCAUUCUCAGAAGGGGUUCUACUGUUACAAACCAUGAAGCAUGUGAAGAAAUCUACUUACUGAUAGAGGAACAUAAUCCAGACUUCAUAUUGGAAUUCUAUUUUCAAUACGAACCAUUUUUUCCUUGUGUGGGAAACUGACAAUUUGUGUACACUAAAUGUGUGAUGUAUUUUCAUUAUUGCAUGUUUGACCAACCUAUCUUAAGAUGAUUUUUAUCUAUAUGCUAGAGCUUGUUUUUGUUUCGAGGAACUUUAACACUUGUCAAAUGCGUUUAAUUGGUUUUAAAAAUGUAAAAAAAAUUUAUCUAUUCUGUAAAACUAUGUAGUAUUAUUGAGUUUAAUUGAGUAAACUAUAAACAAUUGGGCGUGGCUUGUAUAUUUUAGUGUGCUUUUCAUGUUUGAUCAAAUUCAUCUAUCUUGCCUUUUCUUGGCAUUUUUUUAGUUGAUUGUUAAAGCACCCACUGGACUGGGGUUUGUUAAUUUUAACAAUUAAAACAUAUCCUUAUUGGUAAAAUCACUUAUGCACUAUAGGAAUUCAUGUU